rnacentral:rRNA from 1 species
AGAGUUUGAUCCUGGUUCAGAUUGAACGCUGGCGGCAUGCCUUACACAUGCAAGUCGAACGGCAGCACGGGAGCAAUCCUGGUGGCGAGUGGCGAACGGGUGAGUAAUGUAUCGGAACGUACCUUUCAGUGGGGGAUAACGUAGCGAAAGUUACGCUAAUACCGCAUAUUCUGUGAGCAGGAAAGCAGGGGAUCGCAAGACCUUGCGCUGAUUGAGCGGCCGAUAUCAGAUUAGCUAGUUGGUGAGGUAAAGGCUCACCAAGGCGACGAUCUGUAGCGGGUCUGAGAGGAUGAUCCGCCACACUGGAACUGAGACACGGUCCAGACUCCUACGGGAGGCAGCAGUGGGGAAUUUUGGACAAUGGGGGCAACCCUGAUCCAGCCAUGCCGCGUGAGUGGAGAAGGCCUUCGGGUUGUAAAGCUCUUUCAGCCGGGAAGAAAUCACAUGGGUUAAUACCCUGUGUGGAUGACGGUACCGGAAUAAGAAGCACCGGCUAACUACGUGCCAGCAGCCGCGGUAA